CAAUAUGAAACCCGUAGCUCUAAUACCACUGUUGGAAUUCGAGGUUUGGGGUAUGCAUAUAUAUUUUAAUUUUUUUUUUCUAAACACCAUAGUAGAAUACAAGAUUAAAAUAUUUUUAAUCUAAAUUAUACAUGCAUAAAAAUAUAAAACCACAAGAAUCUAGUUUAUGUACUGAAAUUGACAUAUGCUGAAAUUCAGAUUGUAAUCAAAUCGCAUACCUGUUUCGCAGUCCUUUUCUUCAAAUCU
rnacentral:lncRNA from 1 species